AACAGCAAUUCUGCUCACCACGCGAUACGACGUCACUUGUGCCGGGGUGCAGCCAGGGUGCUAGCCCUCUGCCGAACAUGCAUGCCGAGUAUAUGCCGUGAGGAGGAGUACGGCAGAGGAAGGAGCGUCAGGUCUUAAUUGGGGACAUCAGGCCUACGGGCCGCUUAGGCGUGCCGUGAAAUUUUCUCUCCUAGGUGAUAUGGAUAUGUGAGAGAUCAUGUACGAAAAAGUGGUUAGCAACUUUCGUUCGUUUUUGGUCUACAAGUUCAGAGCCAUUAUAGCCAUGCGGGAAAUCCUUCGCCGCAAAUCCAAUCGUUCGCUUGCUUCAAGCGCUUUCGCAGCUCUCUCCCGCAUAUGGCUGCCGUACUAAGGAUACGUAAGACGGGUUAAGAGGACGGCGCAUCGGUCGCGUCUCACACCGGCCUCGGAAUCCGUCUCUUGUCCUCCCUCCCUCCUCCUCCUCCCACCUCCCAGGACCCCCGAUCGAUCGGUCAUCCCUUAAAAUCCCUCGCAAUUUGCUUCUGCUGUUGCGAUCUGCUGUUGCCCUCUCUUAUAUCCGCACACCAUCACACAUCAUCCCGCAACCCUUACGUGGCCAGCGCUGGUCCCAAAACCAUAAGAGACUCUCUCUCUCUCCCCACUUCGGCUGCCUGCUGACCAGCUGCUGCUGCUGCUGCUACUGCUCCUCCGGGGUGACAGAGGGCUGUCGGGUGUUGGAACCGAAUCACUGCCCUUCAAGCCGUCGCCAGCUAGCUGAGGUAAGGCAUGAACGGGAAUCUCUUGACUAGCCGUACAUGUCGUAUGUGCCGUACACUUAAAAGCUGUACAAGUGUAUGUGCAAUGAACAUUGCGGGACAUCCACGCCCACAUGCCGUGUGGGAGGGGUAUCACGUGGCCGUGACGGGUCCCGGUGCGUAACAGCUAGAAACCGAUGGUGGUUGAUGGUUAUUUCGUUGUCCAUGCGGUUAUUUUUGCACUGGCUAUGGCUGUAGCCUCAACAAAACGACAACUACUGCAACUGCCUUACUUCACCAACAUCAUCGCAUUUCGCACAACUCCUUGCACAAACGCAAACGUCGCCGUAAAGCAAAUCAGGUUUCCAAAAACGGCACACACCUACAGAGACAGUCACACGCACACUGACAUACACACAGACAGACAGACAGACAGACAGACACACGCACCCAUGCACCGGACCAACACGCCAACACAGAAUCGCCCACCCAUCCAACCGGCACCACCGCGGCCACCCUGCCCUCUUUCCCCCACCCCCUCUUGGGGGGCAACCGACACUGCAUUUCUCCCCCAUUUCGGCAAGGUCAUAUGCCGUACGUCUUGUAGGUCAUGUACGACAUAUCCUCUUGAAUUGAAUAUCAUGGAUAUCUUGAAUAUCAUGAAUUUCCCGUUUGGGCUGCCUGAGUGAUGCCAGGACCCCACCACCCGUUUACCACAACUCACCACCACCCCCGCCUCCCAACCGCCCCGCCGCUACCACCCCCCUCAACCCCGGCCUGCCCCGGCCCUGUCGCCCCCCGGAGCACUCCCCCCAACCAGCUCCCCACUGCCCGCCACAUCCCUCCCAUCCACCCACUCCCACUCCUAUUACUCCCACUCCCACCACCACCGCUACCGUUGGUCUGCUCGGCAGCUGCCUGCUCCGCUGCGGCUCCUCCCCGCUGCGUGUAUCUCGCCUCCACGUGUUGCUGCUGCUGCUGCUGCUGUUGUUGCUGUUGUUGCUGCUGCGACCCAUGGCCUUGAACCUGGUGUGUCUGAACCUGGUGGGUCGGGGACCGGGUCCGCUGUUCCGUCUGCAGGCGCAUCUCAAUCCAGUCACGGAUCGCCUCACGCUGGAACCGCCGUACUUCUACGACAGACAGCGG
rnacentral:lncRNA from 1 species